rnacentral:rRNA from 1 species
AGCUCAAAGUUGGAACCUGUUUGGCUUAGCUAAACCGGAUUGUAAACUGUAGAAGUGUUUUCCUGACACGCCUGGUAAAAAAGUCCUUUGGAACAGGGCAUCAUAGAGGGUGAGAAUCCCGUGUUUGGCCAGAGCUGUUGUCUUUUGUGAUACAUUUUCAAAGAGUCAGGUUGUUUGGGAAUGCAGCCUAAAUUGGGUGGUAAAUCUCACCUAAAGCUAAAUAUUUGCGAGAGACCGAUAGCGAACAAGUACCGUGAGGGAAAGAUGAAAAGAACUUUGAAAAGAGAGUUAAACAGUAUGUGAAAUUGUUAAAAGGGAACCGUUUGGAGCCAGACUGGCUUGACUGUAAUCAAUCUAGGCUUCGGCCUGGAUGCACUUGCGGUUUAUGCCUGCCAACGACAAUUUUUUUUGAGGGAAAAAACUAUUAGGAAUGUGGCCCCCUUCGGGGGGUGUUAUAGCCUUUUAGAAAAUACCUUGAAUUGGAUUGAGGAACGCAGUGAAUGCCUUUAGGCAAGAUUGCUGGGUGCUUUCGUUAAUAAAUGCUAGAAUUUCUGCCUUGGGUGGUGCUAGUGUUUAAAGAUGGAACUCGCCUGGUAUAUUUU